rnacentral:misc_RNA from 1 species
CAGAGUUGCAAGACUCCCUAAACCAUUGUGAACCUACCUUCUACCGUUGCUUCGGCGGGCGGGCCCAGCGCCCCCCCGGCCCCCCGCGGGCGCCCGCCGGAGGAUACCCAAACUCUUGACAUUAGUGGCCUCUCUGAGUAUUCUUUACUGAAUAAGUCA